ensembl:lncRNA
UUGUUUUUGCUGCUUAAUUUUUUUGUUUCUUUGUUUUUUUUGCUUAAUUUUUUUGUUUUUUUGUGUCUUCCUUCUUUGUUUUUUUGUUUUUCUGCUUAUUUUUUGCUUUGUCCUGUUUGUUUAAUCGAGCCUUGUUAUGUAUUUAUAUAUAUAUAUAUAUAUAUAUAUAAAUACAUAAGUACAUGUAUAAGAAUAUAUCAGUAUAUGUGUAGAGAUAGAUCAGUAUAUGUAUAGGAAUAGAAACAGAUAUAGCCUUAUGCUUUUAUAAAAAAAAAAAGAGUUAAUAUGAAUAAUUUUAAUAAAGUUUUAAAAUUUAAAUAUAACAAUGAGAUAAAUGACCGUGGAAAUUCUAAUGCAACUAAUGAUGAUCAUUCACAUGUAUUAAAAACAAAUACAUACACUCAAUCAUCUUCAGAAUUUGAUAAUUUUUUAAAAGAAGUAAAAAAAAAUAAUACCCAUGUGAACGAAUUAGGAAUAAAGCGUUGUAAGGUGGUAGAGCCUAAACUAAUAAUAAACGAUGUUAGUAAUUUUGUUCAAACGUUUAAUAAGUGUUUACUUACUAUGGAUACUAAAAAAACAAACGUAAUUAAUACCUCGAUAGCAGAUAAUAAUUUUAUUAAUAAAAAGGUAGCGAACAAAAAUACUAACAAUAGUGAUAGUGUUAGUAAUUUUAUAAAUGUGUCUAAUCCUCAUUAUUUAUAUAAAAAAUAUAACACAACUAAUAAUGAAACAACUGAUAGAGACACAACUGAUAGAGACACAACUGAUAGAGACACAACUAGCAAUAAUUACAAAAACAAGUACAACAGUAAACAACUCAAUAGACACGCUUUUCCAGUUAAUAAUGUUUCAAUAAAAACUAAAAAUGAAUCAGAAAAUAUUAACAAAAAUGAAGUGAAAUCUACACAUACUAUUGUAAACAAUAAACUACAAAAAAAUGAUUUAAUUUUUUUUAAUAAACAGCAUCCAAAUGGUCAGUUUUUAUAUUUUAAUAAUAGUUAUAAUGGCUAUAAAACAAAUGAUAAUCUUUAUGAUAAUAAACAUGAUUAUACAAAUUCGAAUAACUUAUAUGCGAAACAAAAUGAGAAAAUGAUACAACAGGAAAAAAAUAGAAAGCACAAUUAUAUGUACAUUAAUAGUGAUGUGUGUCCCAGUAAAAGUAGUUAUACCCAUGUUAACAACAACAAUAAUACUUAUACUAGCUUAGUUAUAGACGUGAAAAAUACACAUAAAAUAAAUAAUCAUAAAUUAAUGCCUGAAAGUAAAUUAGGAAGAUCCAUUAGUUAUGUUAAUUCAAGUUAUACAACAAAACAAAAUAUUCCAAGCAAAGAAACUGUUUCAAACAAAUUAAAAUUAAACAAGUCAUCAUGCUUCUAUACAUCUAAAAAAAUGAGUGUUCCAAAUAAACAAAUAGGAUCUGAAAAAACAAAUAAAAUUUAUAACAAUCAUAAAAAUGCUAUAAAAGCAUUCAAUCAAAAUCAAAAAGUAUAUGAUUUUUCGAACUUAAAUUUAAAAGAAAACAGCGAUUUAUCAGUUAAUUUAUAUCAAAUGGGUAAAAAAAAAAUAGAAACAGAAAAGCAUGUAUUAAUGCAAACUGGUAAGGUGGUUAGUGUUAAUCUAUAUGGUGACAACAUAAGCAACAGUGAUAAACAGUUUACAAAAACUUACACAAAUUAUUCUAAUAUCACUCCCAAUUGCAUGAACAAAAUAAAAAGUAACUGCAGUUAUCAAACUAAUCAUAUGAAUUUGCAACCACAUGAAAACGCAUAUGCUACACCUAACCAUAUUAAUAUUAACGUAAAUAAAAAUGUGAUACGUUCAAGAAGUAUAACAAAUGCAUUACAUUCUCAUAACAAGGGUGUAAAAAGUGGAAAUGCAUAUAUGUUAUUUAAUGGUAAU